UGGGAGGACCAUCUCCUAAGGCUAAAUACUCUCUAGUGACCGAUAGUGAACCAGUACCGUGAGGGAAAGGUGAAAAGCACCCCGGAAGGGGAGUGAAAUAGAACCUGAAACCGUGUGCUUACAAGUAGUCAGAGCCCGUUAAUGGGUGAUGGCGUGCCUUUUGUAGAAUGAACCGGCGAGUUACGAUUUGAUGCAAGGUUAAGCAGUAAAUGUGGAGCCGUAGCGAAAGCGAGUCUGAAUAGGGCGUUUAGUAUUUGGUCGUAGACCCGAAACCAGGUGAUCUACCCUUGGUCAGGUUGAAGUUCAGGUAACACUGAAUGGAGGACCGAACCGACUUACGUUGAAAAGUGAGCGGAUGAACUGAGGGUAGCGGAGAAAUUCCAAUCGAACCUGGAGAUAGCUGGUUCUCUCCGAAAUAGCUUUAGGGCUAGCCUCAAGUGAUGAUUAUUGGAGGUAGAGCACUGUUUGGACGAGGGGCCCCUCUCGGGUUACCGAAUUCAGACAAACUCCGAAUGCCAAUUAAUUUAACUUGGGAGUCAGAACAUGGGUGAUAAGGUCCAUGUUCGAAAGGGAAACAGCCCAGACCACCAGCUAAGGUCCCAAAAUAUAUGUUAAGUGGAAAAGGAUGUGGCGUUGCCCAGACAACUAGGAUGUUGGCUUAGAAGCAGCCAU
rnacentral:rRNA from 1 species